AAGACCGGUGCCAGCCGCCGCGGUAAUACCGGCAGCUCGAGUGAUGUCCAAUUUUAUUGGGCCUAAAGCGUCCGUAGCUGGCCAGCCAAGUUCGUCGGGAAAUCCACCUGCCCAACAGGUGGGCGUCCGGCGAAAACUGUCUGGCUUGGAACCGGAAGGCUCAGAGGGUACGUCUGGGGUAGGAGUGAAAUCCUGUAAUCCCAGACGGACCACCGAUGGCGAAAGCACUCUGAGAAGACGGAUUCGACAGUGAGGGACGAAAGCUAGGGUCUCGAACCGGAUUAGAUACCCGGGUAGUCCUAGCUGUAAACGAUGCUCGUAAGGUGUGGCACCCACUACGAGUGGGUGCUGUGUCGUAGGGAAGCCGCUAAACGA
rnacentral:rRNA from 1 species